rnacentral:rRNA from 1 species
UGCGUAGGCGGCCUAUUAAGUCAGUGGUGAAAGGUAUCAGCUUAACUGAUGACGUGCCAUUGAAACUGACAGGCUUGAGUACAGACGCGGUAGGCGGAAUUUAUGGUGUAGCGGUGAAAUGCAUAGAUACCAUAAAGAACACCGAUAGCGAAGGCAGCUUACUAGGCUGAGACUGACGCUGAGGCACGAAAGCGUGGGGAGCGAACAGGAUUAGAUACCCUGGUAGUCC